AUUUUUAAGUAUUUUUCAGUUAAAAACUACCGUUUAAUACACGCAAUUCAAAUAAAUAGUAGACGCAUACAAAAAUUACAUAUUCAAUAAACCGUGCAAAUAUUGCUAAUAAUAAUAACAAGUUGCUAUAGAGGAAUUUGAGAAAUUGAUAAUAUACAGCUUACCGUGAUCAUUAAUUACUUUGCUCGAAACGUGUAAGGGGCGGAUAAUUCGUAUGAAAUAAACGAAACGCACUUGCGUA